rnacentral:rRNA from 1 species
GACGAACGUUGGCGGCGUGCUUAAUACAUGCAAGUCAACUGAAGCAGUGGUAGCAAUAUCGCUGUGGAGGUGGCGCACGGGGGAGUAACACGUAGGUAAUCUGCCUUCAGGUCUGGCAUAACUCCGGGAAACCGGGGCUAAUAGCAGAUGAUGCAGCGGCUCGACAUCGAGACCGUUGUUAAAGCUAUGGCUCCUGAAGAUGAGCCUGCGUCUGAUUAGCUAGUUGGCGGGGUAACGGCCCACCAAGGCAACGAUCAGUAGCUGGUAUGAGAGGAUGAUCAGGAACACUGGAACUGAGAAAAGGUCCAGAGUACUCAGGAGGGGAGAAGUAAGGACUAUUGCUCAAUGGGAGAACUACUGAAGCAGCAACGGCGAGUGAGGGACGCAGGGCUUUUACUUCUGAACCUCUGUAGUGAGAGAAAAAAAUCCCAAUCUUUGGGACAUGAUGGUAUCUAAAAAGUAAGCCCCGGCUAACUACGUG